AGUGAACGCUGGCGGUAGGCCUAACACAUGCAAGUCGAACGGCAGCACAGUAAGAGCUUGCUCUUACGGGUGGCGAGUGGCGGACGGGAGAGGAAUACAUCGGAAUCUACUUUUUCGUGGGGGAUAACGUAGGGAAACUUACGCUAAUACCGCAUACGACCUACGGGUGAAAGCAGGGGAUCUUCUGACCUUGCGCGAUUGAAUGAGCCGAUGUCGGAUUAGCUAGUUGGCGGGGUAAAGGCCCACCAAGGCGACGAUCCGUAGCUGGUCUGAGAGGAUGAUCAGCCACACUGGAGCUGAGACACGGUCCAGACUCCUGCGGGAGGCAGCAGUGGGGAAUAUUGGACAAUGGGCGCAAGCCUGAUCCAGCCAUACCGCGUGGGUGAAGAAGGCCUUCGGGUUGUAAAGCCCUUUUGUUGGGAAAGAAAAGCAGCAGGUUAAUACCCCGCUGUUCUGACGGUACCCAAAGAAUAAGCACCGGCUAACUUCGUG
rnacentral:rRNA from 1 species